rnacentral:rRNA from 1 species
CUAAGUUUGAUGGCGACCGGCGCACGGGUAAGUAACACGUAUCCAACCUGCCGAUGACUCGGGGAUAGCCUUUCGAAAGAAAGAUUAAUACCCGAUGGCAUAGUUCUUCCGCAUGGUGGAACUAUUAAAGAAUUUCGGUCAUCGAUGGGGAUGCGUUCCAUUAGGUUGUUGGCGGGGUAACGGCCCACCAAGCCUUCGAUGGAUAGGGGUUCUGAGAGGAAGGUCCCCCACAUUGGAACUGAGACACGGUCCAAACUCCUACGGGAGGCAGCAUG